rnacentral:tRNA from 2 species
GUCAGGAUAGCUCAGUUGGUAGAGCAGAGGACUGA